UCCAGACUCCUACGGGAGGCAGCAGUGGGGAAUAUUGGGCAAUGGGCGAAAGCCUGACCCAGCAAUGCCGCGUGAAUGAAGAAGGUCUUAGGAUUGUAAAAUUCUGUCCUAUGGGAAGAAACAAAUGACGGUACCAUAGGAGGAAGCCCCGGCUAACUACGUGCCAGCAGCCGCGGUAAUACGUAGGGGGCAAGCGUUAUCCGGAUUUACUGGGUGUAAAGGGAGCGUAGACGGCAUGGCAAGUCAGAUGUGAAAGCCCGGGGCUCAACCCCGGGACUGCAUUUGAAACUGUCAGGCUGGAGUGCAGGAGAGGUAAGUGGAAUUCCUAGUGUAGCGGUGAAAUGCGUAGAUAUUAGGAGGAACACCAGUGGCGAAGGCGGCUUACUGGACUGUAACUGACGUUGAGGCUCGAAAGCGUGGGGAGCAAACAGGAUUAGAUACCCUCGUA
rnacentral:rRNA from 1 species